CCUACGGGAGGCUGCAGUGGGGAAUAUUGGACAAUGGGGGGAACCCUGAUCCAGCGACGCCGCGUGAGUGAAGAAGUAUUUCGGUAUGUAAAGCUCUAUCAGCAGGGAAGAAAGAAAUGACGGUACCUGACUAAGAAGCCCCGGCUAACUACGUGCCAGCAGCCGCGGUAAUACGUAGGGGGCAAGCGUUAUCCGGAUUUACUGGGUGUAAAGGGAGCGUAGACGGCGAUGCAAGUCUGAAGUGAAAGGCGGGGGCACAACCUCCGGACUGCAUUGGAAACUGUAUGGCUGGAGUGCAGGAGAGGGAAGUGGAAUUCCUAGUGUAGCGGUGAAAUGCGUAGAUAUUAGGAGGAACACCAGUGGCGAAGGCGGCUUACUGGACUGUAACUGACGUUGAGGCUCGAAAGCGUGGGGAGCAAACAGGAUUAGAUACCCCAGUAGUC
rnacentral:rRNA from 1 species